rnacentral:rRNA from 1 species
AACGAACGCUGGCGGCAGGCCUAAAACAUGCAAGUCGAACGGGUGUAGCAAUACAUCAGUGGCGCACGGGUGAGUAACGCGUGGGAACAUGCCCCUUAGUACGGGACAACGUUGGGAAACUGACGCUAAUACCGUAUAAUAUCUCCGGAUCAAAGAUUUAUCGCUGAGGAAGUGGCCCGCGUCUGAUUAGCUAGUUGGUGAGGUAACGGCUCACCAAGGCUACGAUCAGUAGCUGGUCUGAGAGGAUGAUCAGCCACACUGGGACUGAGACACGGCCCAGACUCCUACGGGAGGCAGCAGUUAGGAAUAUUGGACAAUGGGCGAAAGCCUGAUCCAGCCAUGCCGCGUGUGUGAUGAAGGCCUUAGGGUUGUAAAGCACUUUCGUUGGGGAUGAUAAUGACCGUACCCAAAGAAGAAGCCACGGCUAAAUUCGUGCCAGCCGCCGCCGUAACAC